rnacentral:rRNA from 1 species
AAAAGCUUUAUUUUAUUUUMAUGUUUAUAUUGUGAUUAAAUAAUUUUACUGGGGUAGUGACUUUUUGUAUAUCGAAGUCUAAUAAGCAUUAAAGUGGAGAUAGUUCUUAUAUAUAAUAAAAAUUUGAUUAAGUUACUU